GACAGAGGAUGCAAGCGUUAUCCGGAAUGAUUGGGCGUAAAGCGUCUGUAGGCGGCUUUUUUAAGUCCGCCGUCAAAUCCCAGGGCUCAACCCCUGGACAGGCGGUGGAAACUACCAAGCUGGAGUACGGUAGGGGCAGAGGGAAUUUCCGGUGGAGCGGUGAAAUGCGUAGAGAUCGGAAAGAACACCAACGGGCGAAAGCACUCUGCUGGGCCGACACUGACACUGAGAGACGAAAGCUAGGGGAGCGAAUGGG
rnacentral:rRNA from 1 species